rnacentral:lncRNA from 1 species
UUGAAUCCCCCUUUCCUAAAUGUGGAUCCCCCUUCACUAAAACUGCAUCCUCUUUUCCCAUAUAUGGAUCCCCUUUUCCCAUAUAUGGAUCCCCUUUUCCCAUAUAUGGAUCCCCUUUUCCUAAAAUCAGAUCCCCCUUUCCUAAAUAUGGAUCCCCCUUUCCUAAAACCGGACCCCCCUUUCCCAAAAUCGGACUCCGCUUUCCUAAAAUUGGAUCUCCCUUUCCUCAAACCAGAUCCCUCUUUCCUAAAAUUGGGAAAAACAUAUUUUUAAUUUUUUUUUUUAAUCGGUGAAUAAACCACCGCGGUCACCAAACCCCUUUUGUGCUCCGACGUUUCCUUCCACAACCUUGGAAUUC